GAUUGAACGCUGGCGGCAGGCCUAACACAUGCAAGUCGAAUGGUAACAGGAAACAGCUUGCUGUUUCGCUGACGAGUGGCGGACGGGUGAGUAAUGUCUGGGAAACUGCCUGAUGGAGGGGGAUAACUACUGGAAACGGUAGCUAAUACCGCAUAACGUCGCAAGACCAAAGAGGGGGACCUUCGGGCCUCUUGCCAUCAGAUGUGCCCAGAUGGGAUUAGCUAGUAGGUGGGGUAACGGCUCACCUAGGCGACGAUCCCUAGCUGGUCUGAGAGGAUGACCAGCCACACUGGAACUGAGACACGGUCCAGACUCCUACGGGAGGCAGCAGUGGGGAAUAUUGCACAAUGGGCGCAAGCCUGAUGCAGCCAUGCCGCGUGUAUGAAGAAGGCCUUCGGGUUGUAAAGUACUUUCAGCGGGGAGGAAGGGAGUAAAGUUAAUACCUUUGCUCAUUGACGUUACCCGCAGAAGAAGCACCGGCUAACUCCGUG
rnacentral:rRNA from 1 species